UAAUCGAUGUCUUAUCUCGAUUGC
rnacentral:siRNA from 1 species